UACGUAGGGAGCAAGCGUUGUCCGGAAUCAUUGGGCGUAAAGCGCGCGUAGGCGGCCCUGUAAGUCCGUUGUGAAAGUCAAAGGCUCAACCUUUGAAAGCCGAUGGAUACUGCAGGGCUAGAGUCCGGAAGAGGCGAGUGGAAUUCCUGGUGUAGCGGUGGAAUGCGUAGAUAUCAGGAGGAACACCAAUAGCGAAGGCAGCUCGCUGGGACGGUACUGACGCUAAGGAGCGAAAGCGUGGGGAGCGAACAGG
rnacentral:rRNA from 1 species